rnacentral:rRNA from 1 species
GAAUAUUGGACAAUGGGCGAAAGCCUGAUCCAGCCAUGCCGCGUGUGUGAAGAAGGCCUUUUGGUUGUAAAGCACUUUAAGCGAGGAGGAGGCAACUAAGAUUAAUACUCUAGGAUAGGGGACGUUACUCGAAGAAUACGCACCGACUAACUCUGCGCCCACCGCCGCGGUAAUACAGAGGGUGCGAGCGUUAAGCGGAUUUACUGGGCGUAAAGCGUGCGUAGGCGGCUUUUUAAGUCGGAUGUGAAAUCCCUGAGCUUAACUUAGGAAUUGCAUUCGAUACUGGGAAGCUAGAGUAUGGGAGAGGAUGGUAGAAUUCCAGGUGUAGCGGUGAAAUGCGUAGAGAUCUGGAGGAAUACCGACGGCGAAGGCAGCCAUCUGGCCUAAUACUGACGCUGAGGUACGAAAGCAUGGGGAGCAAAC